UACGGAGGGUGCAAGCGUUAAUCGGAAUUACUGGGCGUAAAGCGUGCGUAGGCGGUUCGUUAAGUCUGUUGUGAAAGCCCCGGGCUCAACCUGGGAAUGGCAAUGGAUACUGGCGAGCUAGAGUGUGUCAGAGGAUGGUGGAAUUCCCGGUGUAGCGGUGAAAUGCGUAGAGAUCGGGAGGAACUCAGUGGCGAAGGCGGCCAUCGUGGGACAACACUGACGCUGAGGCACGAAAGCGUGGGGAGCAAACAGG
rnacentral:rRNA from 1 species